rnacentral:lncRNA from 1 species
GAAAACAAGAAGCUAGGCUAGCCUACAGAUCACAAGAUCCUAUCUAUCUUCAAAUUGUUUUUGCGCCUUGCUUUCUUGUCUGUUUGUGUUUCUUCUGGUGCUUCUUUCUUCCAAAAACUGAUGCGGAUGACAUUGGCCUUUUGCCUUUUCAAAACACAAAUUUCAUCAUUUUGUUCUGUCUGCUGGGGAUAGUGCUUCCUUCAUCAAACUUGUUAUGGUGGGGUAUUU